rnacentral:rRNA from 1 species
AGAAUCAACGCUGGCGGCGUGCCUCAGACAUGCAAGUCGAACGCGAAAGCCCCCUUCGGGGGGCAAGUAGAGUGGCGCACGGGUGAGUAACACGUAGGUAAUCUACCUUCGGAUGGGGGAAUAACAAUCGGAAACGAUUGCUAAUACCGCAUAAUGCAGCGGCACCUAAUGGUGACAGUUGUUAAAGCGGGGGAUCGAAAGACCUCGCGUCUGAAGAGGAGCCUGCGGCGGAUUAGCUAGUUGGUAAGGUAAUGGCUUACCAAGGCAACGAUCC